ACACGGGGGGGCCUGAACCCACUCCUAGGAUCCUGGCCCCAAUCCUAGCAGACCUGGCCCUGCUCCUGGUGGUCCCGGACCCCUUCAGGUGCAGGGUGCUGCACAGUGUCUGUAUUAAGACACAACAGCCCCUAAAAAGCCAUUAACAUUAAAAUACACUGCAUGAUGGUUGUGCUUUUGUGUUCACCGCAACAUUUCUUAGCGUUGGCAGCCCUCCCUCGCAGCUGUGCUCCCAUGAAGCCAAAAGAAGAGUGGUGUAGUCCAACUGUGAGUCAAGGAAGGGAAAGAAAUGAAUAAACAGUGACGCUCCACAGAUGGAGACAUAGCAGCUGUGGGGAGGUACCAGCUCCUCCAUAUCAAAGGAACCACUGCUCCUCCAUCACAGCAAGCAUGGUCACAAGCGUACUCUGAGCGUGUUGAGGCACUGAAUAGACCAGGUGCACUCAGUAAAAGGCCAGGGACUACAACCAACUCUUUCACCCACUUCUGAGGCUCUGAGUUUACCCCAUGACAAUGGAAGCAGAAGAGAAGGCAUCAGAUCACUGUCCUUACGGAAUGUGCAAGUUCUCCUCCACGGAUGAUAUAGGCCUUCUCUAUGAAGAUCUUCACCUUUCACAGAAUUCUAUCAUUCUUGAACUGGACCUGCACUACCUUUGAAAUGCAGGGAUUCCCAAAUCAACUGUGUGCUGUUGAAGCAUGCCCCAUCUCCAUCCCACCCUGCUCCUAUUCCAUAAGAGCCUGGGAAGUUCCUGGGGCCAUGCUCCCGCUCAUUAUCUCUCUUGACUCCGGCUGACCUAUAAAUGUUAAAGGAAACAAAACAAACUGCUGGGAGGGAGAGGAAGGGCUGUAGGUGUUGGCCGCAUGUCAGUGGAGCCAAGCCAGAUUCCAGCUGAAGAUGCUAUUGUGUUGCAGUGAUUUCCCUGGAAAAACAGGCCUGGAGAUCUCCUUAC